GGCGGCGGCCCGGAAUCAGCAGGCGACUGGUCGCGAGAGCCGUCGGAUGAUGAGUGGGCCGAUGCACCCACGGAUAUCGGGUCCUUCCUGCAUACUAGACUGAGGGUCGAUGGAGAUAAUAGCGCUGACGACGAGUCAAACGACAGCGCCGGCGGCGCGCGGUCGGUCUCGUCGGUCGCGGCGUCGUCGUCGUCGGUCGCCGACCGGACCGACGUCAAGGUGGAGCCGUUCGCGAUCACGCCACAGACCAAUAAACCGACGGUAGGCCCCAAAUCUGGCCCCACGGACCCCCGUUUCACAGACGUGGUGAAACUGACGGACUACCUACAACACGGACGGAGGCCGCAGUUCUGGGAGGAGCACUAUGUUAAGAGGGUAA